GCGGCGGUAGCAUAGCCCGGCUUAAUGCGCCUCCCUGUCACGGAGGAGAUCGUGGGUUCGAAUCCCAUUCGCCGCG
rnacentral:tRNA from 1 species